rnacentral:rRNA from 1 species
AUGGACGACUUUAUCUCAUGGCAUCUGACAAAAAUAGGGACAUUCUCGGUGAAGUCAGCUUAUUAUGUCACUUGGAGAGUUAAAUAUGAGGCUCGAGGAAACACACAGGGGCCUAGCUCAGCAAAGCUAAAUCCUAUUUGGGAUAUUGUGUGGAAAUUACCUUGCCCAACAAAGAUAAAAAUAUUUCUCUGGCGAUCUUUGCAUGGUACCUUACCAUGCAAGAUGACACAAGCUGAUAGGCAUAUGAAAGUGGACACGAAGUGCCCGGCUUGUGAAGGGCGCGAGAGUGUCAAAGACAUGUUAUUCCAAUGUCCAAAAGCGAAACAAGUUUGGUUAGAAUUGGGACUGGAUGAAAUGAUUUCUCGUGCAUGUGUUGUCGACCAUGCAGGUGAGGCUAUUCUCAAACAUCUAUUGGAUCUUCCAACUAGUGAAACAAUGGUGCUGGGACAGGAGAAAUCAAACGUCCUUGUGGCUAUCGCCUCGUGGUACUUGUGGUGGGAGCGAAGGAAGCUUGUUCAUAAGAAGUAG